UUAACCCAUUUAAUAACUCAACCCAUCAAAUGAAAUGAGUUAUGGGUUGACCCAACCCAUUUAACAAAAUGAGUUGGGUUAACCCAUUACUCACUUUAACUCUAAACUCAUUUGAUUAUGAGU
rnacentral:pre_miRNA from 1 species